UACGUAGGUGGCAAGCGUUGUCCGGAAUUAUUGGGCGUAAAGGGCACGCAGGCGGUUUUUUAAGUCUGAUGUGAAAGGCUGUGGCUCAACCACAGAAUGACAUUGGAAACUGGAAAACUUGAGUGCAGAAGAGGAGAGUGGAAUUCCACGUGUAGCGGUGAAAUGCGUAGAUAUGUGGAGGAACACCAGUGGCGAAGGCGACUCUCUGGUCUGUAACUGACGCUGAGGUGCGAAAGCGUGGGGAGCGAACAGG
rnacentral:rRNA from 1 species